AAUGCGACCCCAGGUCAG
rnacentral:rRNA from 1 species